UGACGAUCACGCGGUACGAUGAAGGUCUGGAUCGUAACUCUGUUGUUAGGAAGACAUGCGUCGAAUAGGCGGCGCCUGACGGUCCUAACCAGAAAGCCACGGUAACUACGUGCCACACCGCGGUAAUACGUAGUGGCAGCGUGUCCGGAAUAUGGGCGUAAAGCGCGCGCAGUGGUUUCUUAAUCUGAUGUGAAAGCCCACGGUCACGGAGGUCAUUGAAACUGGGAACUUGAUGCAAAAGAAAGUGGAAUCCAAGUGUACGGUGAAAUGCGUAGAUAUUUGGAGGAACACCAGUGGCGAAGGCGACUUUCUGGUCUGUAACUGACACUGAGGCGCGAAAGCGUGGGGAGCAAACAGGAUUAGAUACCCUGGUAGUCCACGCCGUAAACGAUGAGUGCUAAGUGUUAG
rnacentral:rRNA from 1 species